UACGUAGGGCGCAAGCGUUGUCCGGAAUUAUUGGGCGUAAAGAGCUCGUAGGUGGCUUGUCGCGUCUGUCGUGAAAGCCCAUGGCUUAACUGUGGGUCUGCGGUGGAUACGGGCUGGCUAGAGGUAGGUAGGGGCAAGCGGAAUUCCUGGUGUAGCGGUGAAAUGCGUAGAUAUCUGGAGGAACACCGGUGGCGAAGGCGGCAUCCUGGACCGGUAUUGACGCUGAGGCGCGAAAGCUAGGGGAGCAAACGGG
rnacentral:rRNA from 1 species